CCCACUGCUCCACUUCACUGCACCCAGAAGCCUGGGGGGUCCGGAACAGUCUGAGAUUUGGGCAGACUGUGCUGGGCACUCACCACAGGCUGAGGUGCCUCAGGAAGCUGCGAUGCCUCCCUGCUUGCAGAAGUAUUCAGUCCUUCAGACAAAGGAACGGGCUUCUGCAGGGACUCCGGAUCCGCCCAGCUCCUCCUCUGCAGGAGAUGUGAGCAGAGAUUUUCACAGUGAAAGAUCCACAAGAUAUACACAGCAUUGGUGGCAGAAACAACCAAUGCUGAGGACAGCCUUAGAAGAUGGCUCCACAAACCUAGGCCCAGAGACCUGCCAAUCAGCCAGAAAACUGGUUUCCAGCUCUCCCAAGAGACCAAGAGAAAAGAUGAAUGGUCCAGUGAAACAACAUUCAAGCAAUGAUCCAUGAGGCUAGAAUGUAGUCACCAGAAGGGGGACUCCACCAACCCCUGAAAAUCUUUUGGUUGCCUUAAUGGCCCUGCUUGCAGUAUCUGUAUAUAUGGCACCUGUACCAAGACUGAAGUGAUGAAUUUAUGUCCCUAAUCCACUACUACUUAGACCCAUUACUUGGGAAGAUUCUCCACCUGAGAUUUAUCAUGAACUAAACUUGGCUUCCUACAUUGUGCAUUAUAAGGCCACUUGUUUCUGCAUAAUUCCCUUGCCUUAGAACAAAUCUAUGCAUUCUUGGGAGGAUAUAAAGAAACAUAUACAAGAAGCUAUCCAUCAAAAUAUUAUUAUGGACAUUGAUGCACUCCAGAAGGAGGUUUUGUCAAUAUCUCAACAAACCCAAAAAUUUGAUGAACAAAUUCAAGAUUGGGACAAAUUUUCUGAUGCUUUACAUAAUUAAAUCCAUUCAACUAUCUCAAGGCA